rnacentral:rRNA from 1 species
GUGCACCAGGCUCGAAUUUUUCUCAAUGGGGGCAACCCUGAAGGAGCGACGCCGCGUGGAGGAUGAAGGCUUUCGGGUUGUAAACUCCUGUCAUUUGAGAACAAGUGUAGCCAAAUCACUACUGGCUACUUGAUAGUAUCAGAAGAGGAAGGGACGGCUAACUCUGUGCCAGCAGCCGCGGUAAUACAGAGGUCCCAAGCGUUGUUCGGAUUCAUUGGGCUAAAGGGUGCGUAGGUGGCGCCGUAAGUGGGGUGUGAAAUUUUCGGAGCUUUAACUCCGAAAACUGCAUUCCAUACUGCGGUGCUUGAGGACUGGAGAGGAGACUGGAAUUCAUGGUGUAGCAGUGAAAUGCGUAGAGAUCAUGACGGAAGACCUAGUGGCGAAGGCGGGUCUCUGGACAGUUCCUGACACUGAGGCACGAAGGCUAGGGGAGCGAACGGGAUUAGAUACCCGUGUAGU